rnacentral:misc_RNA from 1 species
GAAAUGCGAUAAGUAAUGUGAAUUGCAGAAUUCAGUGAAUCAUCGAAUCUUUGAACGCACAUUGCGCCCGCCAGUAUUCUGGCGGGCAUGCCUGUUCGAGCGUCAUUUCAACCCCUCAGGCCCUGGUGCCUGGCGUCGGGGCCUUCCCCCGCGGGAAGCCCCCAGAGACAGUGGCGGACCCGCCGCGGCUCCGAGCGCAGUAGUAACAUUCUCGCUAUGGAGGUCCGCGGUGGAGGCCGGCCGUAAAACCUUUUGGCGCAAGCCGAAAACUCACAAGGUUGACCUCGGAUCAGGUAGGAAUACCCGCUGAACUUAA